rnacentral:rRNA from 1 species
GGUGAACGCUGACAGAAUGCUUAACACAUGCAAGUCAUUGGCGAAGCUGCGCUUGCGCAGUCUAGCCAAGGCGGACGGGUGAGUAACGCGUAAGGAACUUGCCCUGCAGACAGGGAUAACAGACGGAAACGACUGAUAACACCUGGUAUUGUCAGGCUGGCGCAUGCCGGCCUGAUGAAAGGAGACGCUGCAGGAGAGCCUUGCGUCCUAUUAGCUAGUUGGUGGGGUAACGGCCCACCAAGGCGAUGAUAGGUAGCCGGCCUGAGAGGGUGAACGGCCACAAGGGGACUGAGAUACGGCCCUUACUCCUACGGGAGGCAGCAGUGGGGAAUAUUGGACAAUGGGGGCAACCCUGAUCCAGCAAUUCUGUGUGCACGAAGAAGGUUUUCGGAUUGUAAAGUGCUUUCAGCAGGGAAGAAGAAAGUGACGGUACCUGCAGAAGAAGCGACGGCUAAAUACGUG